GACGAACGCUGGCGGCGUGCCUAAUACAUGCAAGUCGAACGCAGUGGGGACGGGUGAGUAACACGUGGGUAACCUCCCAUCAGAGGGGAUAACACUUGGAAACAGGUGCUAAACCGAUACUGAUGGAUGGACCCGCGGUGCAUUAGCUAGUUGGUGAGGUAACGGCUCACCAAGGCCACGAUGCAUAGCCGAACUGAAAGGGUGAUCGGCCACACCAGAACUGGGCCACGGCCCAAACUCAUGCGGGUGGCAGCAGUAGGGAAUCUUCGGGAAUGGACGAAAGUCUGACCGAGCAACGCCGCUUGAGUGAAGAAGGUUUUCGGAUCGUGAAACUCUGUUGUUAGAGAAGCGGUAUCUAACCAGAAAGCCACGGCUGACUACGUGCCUGGAGCCGCGGUAAUAC
rnacentral:rRNA from 1 species